rnacentral:rRNA from 1 species
UGCCUACAACAUAGCGUUAAUGCACCAGAUCCCAUUAGAACUCCACAGUUAAGUGCAUUUAGGUUAGAGUAGUACUGAGAUGGGUGACUGCCCAAGAAGUCCUAGUGUUUUACGUGC